AAGACCCAGCGAUUGGCCAGC
rnacentral:misc_RNA from 1 species